GCAACGGCCGGAAGUGCUGCCUCCUGAUUGGAUCGGGCUUGUCGCCGCGCGCUGGACGCUUCCGGCGGCGGGCGAAAAUAUCUAUCCCCUCCAAAUCGGUGGCGCGUGUCGCGAUUUUUGACGCCGACCGAAGAGCGGCCGCCGUCGGACGAAGUUCGCCGCUUGGACGCCGGAAAUUCGUUCUAUGAGGGUCGGGCUUUACCUAGCCACAGGUCAAUGACGCGCCAGAUACAUGCGUCAUCCGCCAGACACUCCCCCGAAGCCAGCGAGGAUGGCUGCACGCGCGUUUGAGCGCUCGCGCGCGGCGACCCGUCUGUCUCAUUCUUUUUUUCUUUUUUAAAUGUAACCUGGUUUAUUGGGCUCUCGGCGUAUUCUUGCGUUCCUUCUGCACUGGGACAAGACACCACUGCACUAUUGGACUACGGCAAGCUGGUACCGUCCGGUGGAGCUUCAUACAGGAACGACUGCCUUACCUGCUGGUGUCACAACGUUGGAUGAACGCACAAAAAUCGCGGACCGAGAUUUUAUAUAGAGCAAAAUAAAUAUUUCCUCAUUGCACAA